GACACAGAGUGGUGACAAAGCAGAGAAAGGAAAGAUAUCUGGGCAUUCACCUGCUGAAUCCUUCUCUGUUUGGGCCUCCAAGUCUAGAGACAUGGACCAAGACGCUUCCUCUCCAGGCACAUUUGUGGUUGUUGAGGACCCUGAGACCUGGAGAGGAGAAGUGAAUCCUGC